GGCAGACUAAUUUCUUUGAUCCGGCGACAACUGGACGAAGGUCGACGCGGUACUGGUUUCGCGCCUAGGCGGUGCAUGGCUUGUGGCGUGACGGGCCACAAUAGGAGUACCUGUGGACGUGCUUCUCGUUAGAAUACUUGGCGUCAUGAAGAUAGGACAGUCUAGUUAAAGUAAUAGGUUUUAUUUCAUUCAAUUUAAAUUGCAGUAGUGAAGAUGUAUUUCCCUUGAGCAUUGUCAAUGUAUUUCCAUGAUGGAUGAAUAUAAUAAAAUGUUCUGUCAUGUUGGUUUUGUAUGAAGAUUGUGAAUUACGAUUCAGAAUCGUUGGUAUUUUCUUCUUGUACUGUCCCUUUUUUUUAUAGCAGACUGUCCCUUUUCUUGUGUUUUGUUGUUUGCUGGUUGGAAAAUCGAUGUCAGCUGCAAAACUUCAUGGCGAUUGAGAGGUCGAAUUACGUGGUAUGUAUAGGAUGUAGUCCUUUUUUUCACUAUAUGACCGAAGUAUGUAGUAUGAAUGACCAUGUGAAGAGAUUCGACCAUGGAUUAGGAGUAUACAUGUAGAUGAAGUUAUAAAUAUGGUACGGAAUUAGAGGUAGUAUUAAUAAGAUUGUUCCUGUUGGAGUACGUAGUAUGGAGUCGGCUGUUUCUAUGUGAGUACGAAGUAUGUAGUAUUUUGUAUCUGGAGGUGUAUGUAGUAUGUAGUAUGUAUGUGUAAGAAUAAAGGUGUUUGGAAGUGUGUAGUUUAAUUCGUCGCACAAGCUGAAGCUUUUUUGGCAGACCCAUGUUCUUGCCUAUUAGUACGUACUUUCAAAAGAGCUCGCCUAAAUGCAGAUUUGGAGUUGCUACCGCUACCGCCGGGCUUUCCCAUACCUACAACGGGAUAAAAAAUACUCAGUGUACGUAUGAGGCUUCGAGUCAUUGUAGGCCGAUGUAUAAGAAGGAUUAGUAGUUGCAUGGACGUAGGAACUCUUGUCUCAUCACGUACCAGAUCGGACCAUCGUUGGCCAGGCCUUCUCUUCAACGUCUUGCCGGCGGCAGAAAAAUACUUGCGAUGGCGCCGAUCCACGGGCGCCAGCCGGCGAUGAAAGAAACGGCCUGGCAGAUACUAAAAAGUUUGUUAGCGCGUACAACAACAACCUAGGUUCUUAAUAGCUGGAUAAGGAUGGCUUUGCGUAGGAAAUAGUCUUGGUUGGUUAUUAGCCUGAUUCAAAAUUUGGGAUAACAACAGAAACGAUGGGAUAAGCAUUUAAUAAAUAAAUUAAAUAAAUUAUAAGCAAUGGCAAACGGGUCGGAUGCUAGUUUCUGCUAGCCCGUUAUCAUUGGCAACGAUACAUACAAGAAAACUCACGCUCCAUCCAGGAAGCUGAGAUCUACGGUGGAUUCUUAGGGGGUAACUACCCCCGGUAGUAGUAUGGAAUUUCCCUAUAUAUAGGACAUAUUUUAUCUACUACCAGGAGUAGUUACCCCCUCCCUCGUUGGUCUCCACGUGUCCCGCAGGUACGAGAAGUCCAGCCGGGUGUAGGAUGUAGCGAUCGUGGGCAGAACCCGUUAACCCGGAAGCUUAUUUAAUUAUUCGAUGGAGUUUUUUUUAGAUAAAGCAUUCCCUGGUUGUAGGUGGGCAGGUACGAGCAACUAAUUCGCUAAUCACGGGUUCACGCAGCCCUAUAAAUAGGGCCUACACGUUUCGUCCCAGACGCCAGAUACUGCAGCAGAUUAGUUUACAAUUAAAGAAUAGUAUCUUUCUAUUUGGUAGUAUGGACGGAGCUGAUGGAUCCGAGAAGCCCGCCGGUGAAGAGAGUGGACGCAUUGGAUCUGAUCAGCCCGCCGGUGACGAGAAUCAAAGCAUCACCAUUUCCCUUGAGUAGGUAUAUUCUUAAUAUGUGUGUACACGUAUUCUAGUAAGUUUAUAUCUAGUUGGUGAUUUCAUUUCUUUUUUUUGUGGCAGUCACUACAACCGCAUGAUGGAAGUUAUUGGGAGGAUCGACCAUUUGAUGACCACAAUUGAGAUGCAUGGCAGACUAAUUUCUUUGAUCCGGCGACAACUGGACGAACGUCGACGCGGUACUGGUUUCGCGCCUAGGCGGUGCAUGGCUUGUGGCGUGACGGGCCACAAUAGGAGUACCUGUGGACGUUAGAAUACUUGGCGUCAUGAAUAUAGGACAGUCUAGUUAAAGUAAUAGUUAAAGUAAUAGGUUUUAUUUCAUUCAAUUUAAAUUGCAGUAGUGAAGAUGUAUUUCCCUUGAGCAUUGUCAAUGUAUUUCCAUGAUGGAUUAAUAUAAUAAAAUGUUCUGUCAUGUUGGUUUUGUAUGAAGAUUGUGAAUUACGAUUCAGAAUCGUUGGUAUUUUCUUCUUG
rnacentral:lncRNA from 1 species